UGGGGAAUAUUGCACAAUGGGGGAAACCCUGAUGCAGCGACGCCGCGUGAGUGAAGAAGUAUUUCGGUAUGUAAAGCUCUGUCAGCAGGGAAGAAAAUGACGGUACCUGACCAAGAAGCCCGGCUAACUACGUGCCAGCAGCCG
rnacentral:rRNA from 1 species